rnacentral:rRNA from 2 species
GGCUCAGGACGAACGCUGGCGGCGUGCCUAAUACAUGCAAGUCGAGCGGACAGAAGGGAGCUUGCUCCCGGAUGUUAGCGGCGGACGGGUGAGUAACACGUGGGUAACCUGCCUGUAAGACUGGGAUAACUCCGGGAAACCGGAGCUAAUACCGGAUAGUUCCUUGAACCGCAUGGUUCAAGGAUGAAAGACGGUUUCGGCUGUCACUUACAGAUGGACCCGCGGCGCAUUAGCUAGUUGGUGGGGUAAUGGCUCACCAAGGCGACGAUGCGUAGCCGACCUGAGAGGGUGAUCGGCCACACUGGGACUGAGACACGGCCCAGACUCCUACGGGAGGCAGCAGUAGGGAAUCUUCCGCAAUGGACGAAAGUCUGACGGAGCAACGCCGCGUGAGUGAUGAAGGUUUUCGGAUCGUAAAGCUCUGUUGUUAGGGAAGAACAAGUGCGAGAGUAACUGCUCGCACCUUGACGGUACCUAACCAGAAAGCCACGGCUAACUACGUGCCAGCAGCCGCGGUAAUACGUAGGUGGCAAGCGUUGUCCGGAAUUAUUGGGCGUAAAGGGCUCGCAGGCGGUUUCUUAAGUCUGAUGUGAAAGCCCCCGGCUCAACCGGGGAGGGUCAUUGGAAACUGGGAAACUUGAGUGCAGAAGAGGAGAGUGGAAUUCCACGUGUAGCGGUG